rnacentral:rRNA from 1 species
UACGUAGGGACCGAGCGUUGUCCGGAAUCAUUGGGCGUAAAGAGCGUGUAGGCGGCCACUUAAGUCCUGCGUGAAAUCUUGCGGCUCAACCGCAAGCGGUCGUGGGAAACUGGGUGGCUAGAGUGCGGGAGAGGUGCGUGGAAUUCCUGGUGUAGCGGUGAAAUGCGUAGAGAUCGGAAAGAACACCAACGGCGAAAGCACUCUGCUGGGCCGGACACUGACACUGAGAGACGAAAGCUAGGGGAGCGAAUGGG